rnacentral:rRNA from 1 species
AAGUGGAGCAAUCCAUGAGUAGAGUGGCGAACGGGUGAGUAACGCGUGGGUGACCUACCUUCGAGUGGGGGAUAACGUCCCGAAAGGGACGCUAAUACCGCAUGACAUCCUGUCCUUGAACGGACGGAGAUCAAAGCUGGGGAUCGCAAGACCUGGCGCUUGUUGAGGGGCCCGCGUCUGAUUAGCUAGUUGGUGAGGUAACGGCCCACCAAGGCGACGAUCAGUAUCCGGCCUGAGAGGGCGGACGGACACACUGGGACUGAGACACGGCCCAGACUCCUACGGGAGGCAGCAGUGGGGAAUAUUGCGCAAUGGGCGAAAGCCUGACGCAGCGACGCCGCGUGGGGGAUGACGGCCUUCGGG